rnacentral:rRNA from 1 species
GAUGAACGCUGGCGGCGUGCCUAAUACAUGCAAGUCGAGCGAACAGACGAGGAGCUUACUCCUCUGACGUUAGCGGCGGACGGGUGAGUAACACGUGGAUAACCUACCUAUAAGACUGGGAUAACUUCGGGAAACCGGAGCUAAUACCGGAUAAUAUAUUGAACCGCAUGGUUCAAUAGUGAAAGACGGUUUUGCUGUCACUUAUAGAUGGAUCCGCGCCGCAUUAGUUAGUUGGUAAGGUAACGGCUUACCAAGGCAACGAUGCGUAGCCGACCUGAGAGGGUGAUCGGCCACACUGGAACUGAGACACGGUCCAGACUCCUACGGGAGGCAGCAGUAGGGAAUCUUCCGCAAUGGGCGAAAGCCUGACGGAGCAACGCCGCGUGAGUGAUGAAGGUCUUCGGAUCGUAAAACUCUGUUAUUAGGGAAGAACAAAUGUGUAAGUAACUAUGCACGUCUUGACGGUACCUAAUCAGAAAGCCACGGCUAACUACGUG